rnacentral:lncRNA from 1 species
UUCCCCAAACAUGCACCAAACAAAGAAAUGAGUCAUUCAUUGGCAAAAGAGAAACAAACAUUCAUCUCUGAGAAGAAAACUAAACUUGUGUAUAUAUAUGUUCAAGAGUUUGUUCAUACAACAAUCCAUUACAGCCUAAGAGAAUGCAUCUUUCAAGUGUGUUCAUGUUCUCAAUUUUGAAUUAUUCAAUCACUCACUCAUUCAUUUCCUCUUAAAACAUCAGCUUUAUUAAAAGUCGGCUUAACGAGACCAAGAAUAACAAAGCCACCUAAAGCAACAAUCAAAAUGCCUAAGACAUUGACCAGAAUUGCUUCAUUGGAAUAUCGCGAUAUGACGUUGUUGGUUUGAAGGAAUGUAGCCUUUUCUAAAAGACCAGUAGUUGUUGUAACUAUAGCCAAAUCAUNCGCAGUGCUUGUUUGGUUUGUUUAUUGUAUCUAAAUUUUGUAAAAGAAAGUUAUUUUAAUUUAAAUAUAACUUAUCUGUUUUGUAUUUUAAAAACUUGGUAUAUAAUUAAUAGCAAACUCAAAGUAUAAAAAAAUGAGUAUACCCUUCAAUAAACUAUACAAUUUUCUUUCCCUUCUAAGGUAAGAGAGAGGAGUUGCAAAAAACCAAUUAUACGAGAAAUAAAUAAAUAAAAAUUUCAAUAUUGUAAACCAACAAGAAACAUAAUACUCUAUACUGGCAAAAACCAAAAACACAAUAAUAUUGUAUCAUUCCCCAAACAUGCACCAAACACAAGAAUGAGUCAUUCAUUGGCAAAAGAGAAACAAACAUUCAUCUCUGAGAAGAAAACUAAACUUGUGUAUAUAUAUGUUCAAGAGUUUGUUUCAUACAACAAUCCAUUACAGCCUAAGAGAAUGCAUCUUUCAAGUGUGUUCAUGUUCUCUCAAUUUUGAAUUAUUCAAUCACUCACUCAUUCAUUCCUCUUAAAACAUCAGCUUUUAUAAAAGUCGGCUAACGAGACCAUGAAUAACAAAGCCACACCUAAAGCAACAAUCAA